rnacentral:rRNA from 1 species
AGUGAACGCUGGCGGUAGGCCUAACACAUGCAAGUCGAACGGCAGCACAGUAAGCGCUUGCUCUUACGGGUGGCGAGUGGCGGACGGGUGAGGAAUACAUCGGAAUCUACUUUUUCGUGGGGGAUAACGUAGGGAAACUUACGCUAAUACCGCAUAUGACCUACGGGUGAAAUCAGGGGAUCUUCGGACCUUGCGCGAUUGAAUGAGCCGAUGUCGGAUUAGCUAGUUGGCGGGGUAAAGGCCCACCAAGGCGACGAUCCGUAGCUGGUCUGAGAGGAUGAUCAGCCACACUGGAACUGAGACACGGUCCAGACUCCUACGGGAGGCAGCAGUGGGGAAUAUUGGACAAUGGGCGCAAGCCUGAUGCAGCCAUACCGCGUGAGUGAAGAAGGCCUUCGGAUUGUAAAGCCCUUUUGUUGGGAAAGAAAAGCAGCAGGUUAAUACCCCGCUGUUCUGACGGUACCCAAAGAAUAAGCACCGGCUAACUUCGUG